AAGCGUGGAGCAUGUGGUUUAAUUCGAAGCAACGCGCAGAACCUUACCAACCCUUGACAUCGAGAUCGCGGUUUCCAGAGAUGGAUUCCUUCAGUUCGGCUGGAUCUUAGACAGGUGUUGCAUGGCUGUCGUCAGCUCGUGUCGUGAGAUGUUGGGUUAAGUCCCGCAACGAGCGCAACCCUCGCCUUUAGUUGCCAUCAUUAAGUUGGGCACUCUAGAGGGACUGCCGGUGAUAAGCCGGAGGAAGUGGGGAUGACGUCAAGUCCUCAUGGCCCUUAUGGGUUGGGCUACACACGUGCUACAAUGGCGGCGACAAUGGGCAGCGAAGGGGCGACCCGGUGCAAAUCCCAAAAAGCCGUCUCAGUUCGGAUUGCACUCUGCAACUCGAGUGCAUGAAGGUGGAAUCGCUAGUAGUCGCAGGUCAGCAUACUGCGGUGAAUACGUUCCCGGGCCUU
rnacentral:rRNA from 1 species